UAUUACACCGUGCGCCUGGGAAAAAAACAACAGGUGCACCGAGGGGCGGCAGCGCAUCAGAUUGUCCGUAUCAGUUCGGCGGAGGGGCUUACGCGUAUGCGGUCGCCACUUCAAGCUAGAAGACUACGAACGCGAUUCCGUGAUUGUGCGGCGAUGUGAAGAGGCAUCCCUUCAAAUUUGAUGCACUGCGGUCUUUGUUCCUUCCUGUUGAAAAGGCAACCACAUACAAAAAAAAAACUGCACAAGGCAGCCACGAGUACAGUGGUAACUCGGAAGACAAUGGGAUGCUGACGCAAGCUGCCUUCACCACAGAAUCCGCUAAGCAGACACCGAUGUUUCUUCAGUGCCACAGCUCCCAGAGGUUUCAGGCCUCUCGGUGGCUCAACACCUGUUCGAAUGGAUGAAUCUUCCCCCGCUAAAAAAGCUCGCUGCUGAAACAUCUGUCCAAAUGAACGGACCUUUCCCUGCUGAGGAAGAAAAGCCAGCUGCUCAAGUUGACUUCACAUACUUGCCUUUAUUCAGCGAGAGUUUCUGCAGGUAUUACAAGCAUUCAGUGAUCUUUAACAUGUGAUGGGCAUGUAGUCACAAACUAGUUCGCAUACUGAAACGACAACGUGAUACAAGUAUUCUCUGGGGUUGUGUGUGCCCUUUCAUGUUUGCAACAAAGUAAGCCCCUUAGUCCCUGAAACAUUUCACGUCAGCGUAGUUGUGAGAAUUUAUUAGGAGGCAGAGAGGUCAGCCUGAGCUAGUUCGCUGUAGAGCAGUUCAUGACAGUUCACGUAUCUUUGCCAGAACACAAAUGGUCCAUUCUGCAGUGCAUGCUCAUUUUCCCCACCUCUGCGUUUUAAAACUAUACGAACAAAACGAGGCAGUUACAUUCCUGUGAAAAGCCUGCCGAGACACUUUCAGCCUGUCGUAGUUGCAUUUCAUGCAAUACGGGGCAACCUGAAGAUUUUCUAAUGAUGCACAUAAGAGCUUGUACAAUUAAAUGCAGGCCCAUUGCCAGAAAAAAUUCAGGAGUGCCCCACCUGCUGAGGUCCUUUAAAAACCUGUAUUUUCAUUAUUCAUGUUGGGUAGAACACACCCCUCCAUUCAAAUUUCAAAAAGGGUAGGGCAGGCCCCUAGGGCACUUUUAGUUUUGGCCAUGGGCCUCGUUGAGCACCUGUAUAAGAGACAUGCAAGACAUGCACUUGGGAGCAAUUAAAGAAUCAUGCGAAUUUUCUUAUCAACCUUAUUUAAAAGUAGGCACACUGGUUUCUCUUAUGCCACUUUGUCUCUUAUAUGAGUGUAUCUUAUAUAGAAGUUAGACUAUAUAAGCAGCAUUUAUAAAGAUUCUUUAUUGACAUUAGCUAGAAAAGAGGAUUUCUAUGACAACAGCAACGAUGAAUGUUGGUACUCAUUUGCAAUUCGUGAUGCUCUAUAACACAACAGUGUUUUUAGAUGUUGCUACAACCUCUAACGAAAUAACGAAGAGCAUAGGAGACCACGUUCCCCUGCAGUGAGUACGCUUAGGCCCAGCGGUAAGAUUAGUACAGUACUUAUGCUAUUAAGUACUUAUGCUAUUAGUACUUAUGCUGAAACCGAUGCCUGACUAGAGCACAGGCCGGCCGAAAGCAUAAGACUUAUUUCACAUGAAAGCACACUGUGGUUCAUGAACACUUUAUUUUAUUACAAGUAUGUCUUUUCCGAUGUUCACCAAAUAAGAAGGGGCACACUGACACAUGUGUACAACGACAUUUUUCGCAGCAUCUACAACGGGCUGCUACCUACCAAAGCAGUUUCACAGUGGACACAACGAAACAGUAAAAUGAUUUCUUGUGACACUAUUUACACUAUAUUUAUGUGCUAAUACACCAACUUCUUUUGUAUAGUACAUCGCCAGUUACUUUAUAUAAGACUUCCAAACAAUGCUACACUUAGCUCAUGGAGUGACUGUUUUGUGAUAGUAUACUUGUUGCGCGUUUCUGGCUAAUAAUAAAAUGGAGUGCACCAAUUA